rnacentral:lncRNA from 1 species
GGGGGAUGAAAGUCAGGAGAGAGAAAGAAAGAGAAAGAGUUGGCCAUUGUACUGGAAGCGAACGAGAGAGAACAAGAGAUAUGUUGGAGGUCCGCCUGCCUGCCUGCCACACAGCAGCAACAGCAGCAACAGCAGCCACUACAGCAGAUGCUGCAACUCCUGGUUGGUCGGACAGACGCACACAGCGUCGGUUAAACCGAGAUUUUACACUUUUCAACACGAGGCACAGCAGCCCUAUAGUGCGCCCAGAAUCUUCGAUCCCGCAUUUGGCGGUACAGCAGCUCUUAUCAAAUCCAACAGCCAGUCCCGGUUCCAGGAUAAAUAUCAAUGUUUUAUGGAGGAAACAAUGAGGGAAUGCCAUUUCGACACGAAUGAGAUGAAGUGACCUUUUGCAGUCGUGCGUAGCUGGACAUCAGCCAACGGUGUGGUGAAGUGUAGUGAGACUAAAGUUGCCAGACACCUGCAAACAGACAUUGGCCGUUACAGUGACAGCUAACAGCUCAGAGCACAAAACAACAUGUAAACAUUGCUGAUCGCACCAAAAGUUGUAUCCCCAUGAAUUUCGCAUUGACUUUCAAAUGAAUUGGUGUGAACGGCAUCAGCUUGCUAGCCUUGAUGGCAGUUGGUGUGCAGGUGAAUGUCGACAGGCUUAGGACAAGCAUGACGUCAUCUAGACAUUGUGUGCCAACGGGACAGACCUCAUAUCUGACAUAACCUUUAACCUGGUUCACCGACAAUCAUGGUCUCAAACGAACUCACUCCUCUCUACAGGAAUACCACGGCUACAUGCAAAAAUCCAGCAGGAGGCAGGUUUCAGUUUUACAGACUUCUGAGACUGUGGAGGAGGGGAAACAAUAUCCCAUUCCCUCCUCUGUGUUGUCCACGUCUGGCGCUGGCGGCGGAGGAACACAAUUUGCUGUGAAAUUUCCUCGAAUUUGAUUGACUUCUCCUUUUCAGACCACUUCCAACUGCGCAGUCGCCUGGAGGACUUCCGCUAAAAUACUAGACUGCUUUACUGGACUCAGAGGAAGACUUGAGACAGUGAGAUAAAAAAAAAAAAGAAAAACAUUGUAAUAGCGACUCCACGCUGUUCGUCACAGACAUCAGACAAACUUCAUUGCAAGAGAAUUUACUUACACAACGAAAACAAAGAAAAAAGAAGUAAAGGACGUAUGCUUUAAAACAAGAAGAAAACCUCAACAAGAAAACACAAAGCAGGUUCUGCUUCCACUUACAGCCAUGUACCCGGAGGUGAGAAGGUCGAGUAUGUCUCUGCGCUCACACCUGGGGUCGUUUGACGGCACGUCCAGGUGGUCCAACAGCAACACACUGAAGCGGAAGAGAGUCGCGUCCCUUGUCGCUGCUCGUGGGUCCUCUGCGUCGUCGUUACCUUCAUCGUUCUCACAGUCGUCGCCUGCGUCAUCACAGUCCCUCUAAUACCGGAUCAAAGGUCACUCCACUCAGCACAGGUGGUGUCGGUGAGGUCGGAACUGGAGCAGCGCCGACUGAUCCUGAUCGCCAAACAAGAUUGCUACCGCCUGAGCGAACGACGGGAAGCAGAACUGAAAAAUGGCACAGCCCCCUUUA